rnacentral:rRNA from 1 species
GAUGAACGCUGGCGGCGUGCCUAAUACAUGCAAGUCGAGCGAACAGAUGAGGAGCUUGCUCCUCUGACGUUAGCGGCGGACGGGUGAGUAACACGUGGAUAACCUACCUAUAAGACUGGGAUAACUUCGGGAAACCGGAGCUAAUACCGGAUAAUAUAUUGAACCGCAUGGUUCAAUAGUGAAAGACGGUUGUGCUGUCACUUAUAGAUGGAUCCGCGCCGCAUUAGCUAGUUGGUAAGGUAACGGCUUACCAAGGCAACGAUGCGUAGCCGACCUGAGAGGGUGAUAGGCCACCCUGGAACUGAGACACGGUCCAGACUCCUACGGGAGGCAGCAGUAGGGAAUCUUCCGCAAUGGGCGAAAGCCUGACGGAGCAACGCCGCGUGAGUGAUGAAGGUCUUCGGAUCGUAAAACUCUGUUAUUAGGGAAGAACAAAUGUGUAAGUAAAUAUGCACGUCUUGACGGUACCUAAUCAGAAAGCAACGGCUAACUACGUG